rnacentral:rRNA from 1 species
GCCUACGGGGCGCAGCAGUCGGGAAUAUUGCGCAAUGGAGGAAACUCUGACGCAGUGACGCCGCGUAUAGGAAGAAGGUUUUCGGAUUGUAAACUAUUGUCGUGAGGGAAGAAAUUGACAGUACCUCAGGAGGAAGCUCCGGCUAACUAUGUGCCAGCAGCCGCGGUAAUACGGAGGAUGCGAGCGUUAUCCGGAUUUAUUGGGUUUAAAGGGUGCGUAGGCGGAUUUUUAAGUCAGCGGUAAAAUGUCCGGGCUCAACCCGGGCCGGCCGUUGAAACUGGGGAUCUUGAGUGGGCGAGAAGUAU